AAAUGCUUAGUGGCAUUUCGUCCAUCAUUACGUUCUGACUUCAAAUUCCGCCGAGGUCGACUUUGUCUUUCAUCCUUUCGGAGUCGAUAAAAUAAGUACCAGUUAAGCACU